CUACGUGCCAGCAGCCGCGGUAAUACGUAGGUGGCAAGCGUUGUCCGGAAUUAUUGGGCGUAAAGCGCGCGCAGGCGGAUUGGUCAGUCUGUCUUAAAAGUUCGGGGCUUAACCCCGUGAUGGGAUGGAAACUGCCAAUCUAGAGUAUCGGAGAGGAAAGUGGAAUUCCUAGUGUAGCGGUGAAAUGCGUAGAUAUUAGGAAGAACACCAGUGGCGAAGGCGACUUUCUGGACGAAAACUGACGCUGAGGCGCGAAAGCCAGGGGAGCGAACGGGAUUAGAUACCCCGGUAGUCCUGGCCGUAAACGAUGGGUACUAGGUGUAGGAGGUAUCGACCCCUUCUGUGCCGGAGUUAACGCAAUAAGUACCCCGCCUGGGGAGUACGACCGCAAGGUUGAAACUCAAAGGAAUUGACGGGGGCCCGCACAAGCGGUGGAGUAUGUGGUUUAAUUCGGCGCAACGCGAAGAACCUUACCAGGUCUUGACAUUGAUGGACAGAACUAGAGAUAG
rnacentral:rRNA from 1 species